GGGGAAUAUUGGGCAAUGGGCGCAAGCCUGACCCAGCAACGCCGCGUGAGGGAAGAAGGCUUUCGGGUUGUAAACCUCUGUCCUUGGUGACGAAGGAAGUGACGGUAGCCAAGGAGGAAGCCCCGGCUAACUACGUGCCAGCAGCCGCGGUAAUACGUAGGGGGCGAGCGUUGUCCGGAAUUACUGGGCGUAAAGGGUGCGUAGGCGGUAGCUUAAGUUGGAUGUGAAAUACCCGGGCUUAACUUGGGGGGUGCAUCCAAUACUGGGCAACUAGAGUGCAGGAGAGGGAAGCGGAAUUCUUAGUGUAGCGGUGAAAUGCAUAGAUAUUAGGAGGAACACCAGUGGCGAAGGCGGCUUUCUGGACUGUAACUGACGCUGAGGCACGAAAGCGUGGGGAGCAAAC
rnacentral:rRNA from 1 species